UUGGUGAUGGACAGGGAGGCCUGGCGUCCUGCAAUUCAUGGGGUCGCAAAGAGUCGGACAUGACUGAGCAACUGAUCUGAUCUGAAGGCAGCACACAUUUAUCAUCUUAAUAGUUUCUGGGACUCAGCUUUCAGUAGCUGGGAGACUGACUCAGGCCACUAGGCUGCAAUGAAUUGCUGAAUGGAGCUGCAUCAUGUGAAAGGAGGCAGAAUCUGACUGGUGUUGGAGGACCUGCUCCCAAAGUCACUCUCACAGCUGUUGACAAGAGAUUUUAUUUCCAGUUGUGAGAGACCUCAGUUGUCCACCAUCUCAGCCUACAGGUAAGCGCCCGACAGGGAACUGCACUGCCAUAACACAAGUGGUGGCGCAGACACCUACAAUCCUGAGAGAGAAUCUGUCACCCUGCUCACGGAAUCCAUGAAAGGGACCUCUAUGGAAUGGUUUCAACACUUCACAAUUCCUCAAGUAACUGGAUUUGCUUCAACACUACCAUGUAAGAUGUUUGCUGUAGGUUUUUGAAGAAUGCUUUAUGAAGUUUUAUGUUUUGACAGAUAAAUAAAGUUGUGUAACAACAACCACCAUCUAGCUGCAGGACUCCACUACUCCAAAAAAAAUUAUUUAUGCUGCCCCAUUGAAGUCAAGUCCUUCCUACCAACACUUAAAACAAGCAGCCUGUAAUCUGUUUUUCAUCACUACAUUUUUGCCUUUUCCAGAAUGUCAUAAAAAUUAAUCAUACA